GAACGCUGGCGGCGUGGAUAAGACAUGCAAGUCGAACGAGAGAAUUGCUAGCUUGCUAAUAAUUCUCUAGUGGCGCACGGGUGAGUAACACGUGAGUAACCUGCCCCCGAGAGUGGGAUAGCCCUGGGAAACUGGGAUUAAUACCGCAUAGAAUCGCAAGAUUAAAGCAGCAAUGCGCUUGGGGAUGGGCUCGCGGCCUAUUUGUUAGUUGGUGAGGUAACGGCUCACCAAGGCGAUGACGGGUAGCCGGUCUGAGAGGAUGUCCGGCCACACUGGAACUGAGACACGGUCCAGACACCUACGGGUGGCAGCAGUCGAGAAUCAUUCACAAUGGGGGAAACCCUGAUGGUGCGACGCCGCGUGGGGGAAUGAAGGUCUUCGGAUUGUAAACCCCUGUCAUGUGGGAGCAAAUUAAAAAGAUAGUACCACAAGAGGAAGAGACGGCUAACUCUGUGCCAGCAGCCGCGGUAAUACAGAGGUCUCAAGCGUUGUUCGGAAUCACCGGGCGUAAAGCGUGCGUAGGCUGUUUCGUAAGUCGUGUGUGAAAGGCGCGGGCCCAACCCGCGGACGGCACAUGAUACUGCGAGACUAGAGUAAUGGAGGGGGAGCCGGAAUUCUCGGUGUAGCAGUGAAAUGCGUAGAUAUCGAGAGGAACACUCGUGGCGAAGGCGGGUUCCUGGACAUAAACUGA
rnacentral:rRNA from 1 species